UUGCCCUAGUAACGGCGAGUGAAGCGGCAACAGCUCAAAUUUGAAAUCUGGCUUCGGCCCGAGUUGUAAUUUGCAGAGGAAGCUUUAGGCGCGGCACCAUCUGAGUCCCCUGGAACGGGGCGCCAUAGAGGGUGAGAGCCCCGUAUAGAUGGACGCCUAGCCUGUGUAAAGCUCCUUCGACGAGUCGAGUAGUUUGGGAAUGCUGCUCAAAAUGGGAGGUAAAUUUCUUCUAAAGCUAAAUAUUGGCCAGAGACCGAUAGCGCACAAGUAGAGUGAUCGAAAGAUGAAAAGCACUUUGAAAAGAGGGUUAAAUAGCACGUGAAAUUGUUGAAAGGGAAGCGCUUGUGACCAGACUUGCGCCGGGCGGAUCAUCCGGUGUUCUCACCGGUGCACUCCGCCCGGCUCAGGCCAGCAUCGGUUCUCGCGGGGGGAUAAAGGCCCUGGGAACGUAGCUCCUCCGGGAGUGUUAUAGCCCGGGGCGUAAUGCCCUCGCGGGGACCGAGGACCGCGCAUCUGCAAGGAUGCUGGCGUAAUGGUCAUCAGCGACCCGUCUUGAAACACGGACCAAGGAGUCAAGGUUUUGCGCGAGUGUUUGGGUGUAAAACCCGCACGCGUAAUGAAAGUGAACGUAGGUGAGAGCUUCGGCGCAUCAUCGACCGAUCCUGAUGUUUUCGGAUGGAUUUGAGUAGGAGCGUUAAGCCUUGGACCCGAAAGAUGGUGAACUAUGCUUGGAUAGGGUGAAGCCAGAGGAAACUCUGGUGGAGGCUCGCAGCGGUUCUGACGUGCAAAUCGAUCGUCAAAUCUGAGCAU
rnacentral:rRNA from 1 species